rnacentral:rRNA from 1 species
UGUCGGUGGCGGACGGGUGAGUAACGCGUAAAGAAUUUGCCCUUCAGACUGGGACAACUAAUCGAAAGGUUAGCUAAUACCGGAUAUUAUGAGACCUUGGCAUCAAGGACUUAUGAAAGCUAUAUGCGCUGGAGGAGAACUUUGCGUUCCAUUAGCUAGUUGGUAGGGUAAUGGCCUACCAAGGCGACGAUGGAUAGCCGGCCUGGGAGGGUGAACGGCCACAAGGGGACUGAGACACGGCCCUUACUCCUACGGGAGGCAGCAGUGGGGAAUAUUGGACAAUGGACCAAAAGUCUGAUCCAGCAAUUCUGUGUGCACGAUGAAGGUCUUCGGAUUGUAAAGUGCUUUCAGGUGGGAAGAAGAAAGUGACGGUACC